rnacentral:rRNA from 1 species
UGCCCGGAUGUAACACAGCAACACCCUGCUCGCCAAACAACUACGAGUGAAAACUUAAAACUUAAAGGACUUGACGGUACUUCACACCCAACCUAGAGGAGCCUGUCUAUUAACCGAUAAUCCACGAUUAACCCGACCGCUUCUAGCCACCCAGCCUAUAUACCACCGUCGCCAGCCUACCUUGUAAAAGAAACAAAGUAAGCUAAACAGUAUUACACUAACACGACAGGUCAAGGUGUAACUAAUGAAACGGAUUAAGAUGGGCUACAUUCUCUAACCCAGAUCACACGAACAAGAUUAUGAAACUAAUCUUUAAAGGCGGAUUUAGCAGUAAGCUGAGAACAAAAUACUCACCUGAAACCAAUGCAAUGAAGUGCGUACACACCGCCCGUCACCCUCUGCAGUCACUUUA